rnacentral:rRNA from 1 species
GAUGAACGCUGGCGGCGUGCCUAAUACAUGCAAGUCGAGCGAACAGACGAGGAGCUUGCUCCUCUGACGUUAGCGGCGGACGGGUGAGUAACACGUGGAUAACCUACCUAUAAGACUGGGAUAACUUCGGGAAACCGGAGCUAAUACCGGAUAAUAUAUUGAACCGCAUGGUUCAAUAGUGAAAGACGGUUUUGCUGUCACUUAUAGAUGGAUCCGCGCCGCAUUAGCUAGUUGGUAAGGUAACGGCUUACCAAGGCAACGAUGCGUAGCCGACCUGAGAGGGUGAUCGGCCACACUGGAACUGAGACGCGGUCCAGACUCCUACGGGAGGCAGCAGUAGGGAAUCUUCCGCAAUGGGCGAAGGCCUGACGGAGCAACGCCGCGUGAGUGAUGAAGGUCUUCGGAUCGUAAAACUCUGUUAUUAGGGAAGAACAAAUGUGUAAGUAACUAUGCACGUCUUGACGGUACCUAAUCAGAAAGCCACGGCUAACUACGUG